rnacentral:rRNA from 1 species
AGAUUCCUGAUGCAGCGACGCCGCGUGAGGGAUGACGGCUUUCGGGUUGUAAACCUCUUUUAUCCACCACGAAGGCUCCGUAUUCGCGGGGUUGACGGUAGUGGUUGAAUAAGCGCCGGCUAACUACGUGCCAGCAGCCGCGGUAAGACGUAGGGCGCGAGCGUUGUCCGGAUUUAUUGGGCGUAAAGGGCUCGUAGGCGGCCCGCUGCGUCUGCCGUGAAAGGCCUCGGCUUAACCGGGGUUUUGCGGUGGAUACGGGCGGGCUUGAGGCAAGUAGGGGAAACUGGAAUUCUACGUGUAGCGGUGAAAUGCGCAGAUAUGUGGAGGAACACCGGUGGCGAAGGCGGGUUUCUGGGCUUGUUCUGACGCUGAGGAGCGAAAGCGUGGGGAGCGAACAGGAUUAGAUACCCUGGUAGUCCAUGCUGUAAACGGUGGGCGCUAGGUGUGGGGCCACGUUGGUUGGUUCUGUGCCGUAGCUAACGCAUUAAGCGCCCCGCCUGGGGAGUACGG